AGCUCCAAUAGCGUAUAUUAAAGUUGCUGCAGUUAAAAAGCUCGUAGUUGCAUUUCCGAGGCAAGGGAUUAGUCCGACCUUUGGUGGGUAUUUAAUCCUCUUGCCUCGUCCUUGAGUGGUGCUUCUUGGUAUUAAGUUAUCGAGGAGAUAGCCGCUCAUCGUUUACUGUGAGAAAAUUAGAGUGUUCAAAGCAGGCUUAUGCCGUUGAAUAUAUUAGCAUGGAAUAAUAAGAUAGGACCUCGGUACUAUUUGGUUGGUUUGAGAACCAAGGUAAUGAUGAAUAGGGACAGUUGGGGGUAUUCGUAUUCAGGUGUCAGAGGUGAAAUUCUUAGAUUUACGGAAGACGAACUACUGCGAAAGCAUUUACCAAGGAUGUUUUCA
rnacentral:rRNA from 1 species